CGAACGCUGGCGGCGUGCCUAAUACAUGCACGUAGAACGCUGAAGGAGGAGCUUGCUUCUCUGGAUGAGUUGCGAACGGGUGAGUAACGCGUAGGUAACCUGCCUGGUAGCGGGGGAUAACUAUUGGAAACGAUAGCUAAUACCGCAUAAGAGUAGAUGUUGCAUGACAUUUGCUUAAAAGGUGCAAUUGCAUCACUACCAGAUGGACCUGCGUUGUAUUAGCUAGUUGGUGGGGUAACGGCUUACCAAGGCGACGAUACAUAGCCGACCUGAGAGGGUGAUCGGCCACACUGGGACGGAGACACGGCCCAGACUCCUACGGGAGGCAGCAGUAGGGAAUCUUCGGCAAUGGACGGAAGUCUGACCGAGCAACGCCGCGGGAGUGAAGAAGGUUUUCGGAUCGUAAAGCUCGGUUGUAAGAGAAGAACGAGUGUGAGAGUGGAAAGUUCACACUGUGACGGUAUCUUACCAGAAAGGGACGGCUAACUACGUG
rnacentral:rRNA from 1 species